rnacentral:snRNA from 1 species
GGAUGUGAGGGCUAUCUGGCUGUGACAACUGUCACAUCAUUGAUGGCCAUAGUCAAUUCCACUGAUCUGGCUGGCUAGGCAGGUGUCCCCUUCCUCCCUCACUGCUCUAUGUGCAUCCCUCCCAAAGCUGUGCGCUCCGUUGAAGAGGAUGACCAUCUCCGACAGAGGGAUAGAGGAGGACCUGUCUUCCGUCAAGGAUAUACAAGUAACUGCACUCCCUCACUAGAACCUCCAAACAAGCUUUCAAAUGCCUGUGUGGGUCGUGGGAUCGCUUGUAGCUACGAUUUCAGAGGUUUGUGGCAAGAGUGUGUUGCCCUGCAGUUCUUU